rnacentral:tRNA from 1 species
GGGGUUGUGGCUCAGUGGUGGAGCGCUUGACUGACAAGUAUGAGGCACUGGGUUCGAUCCUCAGCACCA